AUCACCUCUCUGCCUUUUGGCUAAGGUCAACUGUAUCUGUUCUUAUCAGUUUAAUAUCUGAUAUGUCAUCUAUCUGAGGACAAUAUAGUAAAAGGAUUUUUGGAGCUUGGAGUCGGGAUAGUAACUUUCACUGUCCACUUCACUCAUCGACCUGAUAUUGCAAUACCUCUAAGAACGGUGCACCCCCU